UUGCUAGAAGAUGACGAGUGGCGGACGGGUGAGUAAUGCUUGGGAACUUGCCUUUGCGAGGGGGAUAACAGUUGGAAACGACUGCUAAUACCGCAUAAUGUCUUCGGACCAAACGGGGCUUCGGCUCCGGCGCAAAGAGAGGCCCAAGUGAGAUUAGCUAGUUGGUAAGGUAACGGCUUACCAAGGCGACGAUCUCUAGCUGUUCUGAGAGGAAGAUCAGCCACACUGGGACUGAGACACGGCCCAGACUCCUACGGGAGGCAGCAGUGGGGAAUAUUGCACAAUGGGGGAAACCCUGAUGCAGCCAUGCCGCGUGUGUGAAGAAGGCCUUCGGGUUGUAAAGCACUUUCAGUUGUGAGGAAAAGUUAGUAGUUAAUACCUGCUAGCCGUGACGUUAACAACAGAAGAAGCACCGGCUAACUCCGUGCCAGCAGCCGCGGUAAUACGGAGGGUGCGAGCGUUAAUCGGAAUUACUGGGCGUAAAGCGCACGCAGGCGGUUUGUUAAGCUAGAUGUGAAAGCCCCGGGCUCAACCUGGGAUGGUCAUUUAGAACUGGCAGACUAGAGUCUUGGAGAGGGGAGUGGAAUUCCAGGUGUAGCGGUGAAAUGCGUAGAUAUCUGGAGGAACAUCAGUGGCGAAGGCGACUCCCUGGCCAAAGACUGACGCUCAUGUGCGAAAGUGUGGGUAGCGAACAGGAUUAGAUACCCUGGUAGUCCACACCGUAAACGCUGUCUACUAGCUGUGUGUGUCUUUAAGGACGUGCGUAGCGAAGCUAACGCGCUAAGUAGACCGCCUGGGGAGUACGGCCGCAAGGUUAAAACUCAAAUGAAUUGACGGGGGCCCGCACAAGCGGUGGAGCAUGUGGUUUAAUUCGAUGCAACGCGAAGAACCUUACCUA
rnacentral:rRNA from 2 species